rnacentral:rRNA from 1 species
ACAGGGAUUGCCCUAGUAACGGCGAGUGAAGCGGCAUCAGCUCAAAUUUGAAAUCUGGCUCUUUCAGGGUCCGAGUUGUAAUUUGCAGAGGGCGCUUUGGCGUUGGCAGCGGUCCAAGUUCCUUGGAACAGGACGUCACAGAGGGUGAGAAUCCCGUACGUGGUCGCUGGCCUUCGCCGUGUAAAGCCCCUUCGACGAGUCGAGUUGUUUGGGAAUGCAGCUCUAAAUGGGAGGUAAAUUUCUUCUAAAGCUAAAUACUGGCCAGAGACCGAUAGCGCACAAGUAGAGUGAUCGAAAGAUGAAAAGCACUUUGGAAAGAGAGUCAAAUAGCACGUGAAAUUGUUGAAAGGGAAGCGCUUGCAGCCAGACUUGCCUGUAGUUGCUCAUCCGGGCUUUUGCCCGGUGCACUCUUCUGCGGGCAGGCCAGCAUCAGUCUGGGCGGUUGGAUAAAGGCCUCUGUCAUGUACCUUCUCUCGGGAAGGCCUUAUAGGGGAGGCGUAAUGCAACCAGCCUGGACUGAGGUCCGCGCAUCUGCUAGGAUGCUGGCGUAAUGGCUGUAAGCGGCCCGUCUUGAAACACGGACCAAGGAGUCUAACAUCUAUGCGAGUGUUUGGGUGUCAAGCCCGAGCGCGUAAUGAAAGUGAACGGAGGUGGGAUCCCUUAAGGGUGCACCAUCGACCGAUCCUGAUGUCUUCGGAUGGAUUUGAGUAAGAGCAUGGCUGUUGGGACCCGAAAGAUGGUGAACUAUGCUUGAAUAGGGUGAAGCCAGAGGAAACUCUGGUGGAGGCUCGCAGCGGUUCUGACGUGCAAAUCGAUCGUCAAAUUUGGGCAUAGGGGCGAAAGACUAAUCGAACUAUCUAGUAGCUGGUUCCUGCCGAAGUUUCCCUCAGGAUAGCAGUAACGUAUUCAGUUUUAUGAGGUAAAGCGAAUGAUUAGAGGCCUGGGGGUUGAAACAACCUUCACCUAUUCUCAAACUUUAAAUAUGUAAGAAGUCCUUGUUACUUAAUUGAACGUGGACACUUGAAUGUACCGUUACUAGUGGGCCAUUUUUGGUAAGCAGAACUGGCGAUGCGGGAUGAACCGAACGCGGGGUUAAGGUGCCAGAAUAUACGCUCAUCAGACACCACAAAAGGUGUUAGUUCAUCUAGACAGCAGGACGGUGGCCAUGGAAGUCGGAAUCCGCUAAGGAGUGUGUAACAACUCACCUGCCGAAUGAACUAGCCCUGAAAAUGGAUGGCGCUCAAGCGUAUUACCCAUACCCCGCCGCCGGGGCAAGAUUUAAGCCCCGGCGAGUAGGCAGGCGUGGAGGCUCGUGACGAAGCCUUGG